CCUGAGAAACCCGAAAGAUCGAAAGGGGAGAUUCAUCGUCAGCGACGUCGGCUUCUCGUCGGCUCGUCGCGCGCUCCCGCGACCAUCCCUCACCGGAUGUGUCGUGUGCUGUAGUCGCGCGGCGUCCUUCGCGUGCGCGCGCCCUCGGGCGCGCCGUCCAUGUCCGACAACGUAGGCGUGCACUUCUCCCCUAGUAGAACGUCGCGACCCGCUGGGCGCCGGUCUACGGCCCGGUGCGUCGCCUGUCCCGCCGUCCUUUGUGGCGUCGCGGGCCAGACGCCCGGUGCAUCGUCCCGACCGGCUGCCCGGCGGUAUCACUCGCAAGGUACUCUGGCCGCAAGUGCGCGUUCCGCGCGCACCGUGCGUCCUUCGAAAAAGGCUCGCCGCAAGCGCGGUCAGUGCUAACGCAAACCCGUGUCUGUACGGACGAACUACGCCGUCGCCGGGGCUGACCCGCUGUUCGCUGCGCGAUGUCCUCGGACAGGCAUGUGUAGUACCGGUCAGCGACGCUAUUGCUUCGGGUACUUUCAGG
rnacentral:rRNA from 1 species